GAGCACGUAGGUGGGUUUGUAAGUCAGAUGUGAAAGCCUUCUGUUCAACGGAAGAAUUGCAUCUGAAACUGCGAGUCUUGAGUGUAGGAGGGGAGAAUGGAACUUCUGGUGGAGCGGUGAAAUGCGUAGAUAUCAGAAGGAACGCCGGCGGCGAAAAGCGAUUCUCUGGCCUAUUACUGACACUCAGUGUGCGAAAGCUAGGGGAGCAAACGGGAUUAGAUACCCCGGUAGUCCUAGCCGUAAACGAUGGGCACUAAGUAGAGGGG
rnacentral:rRNA from 1 species